rnacentral:rRNA from 1 species
CCUACGGGUGGCAGCAGUGGGGAAUAUUGCACAAUGGGGGAAACCCUGAUGCAGCGACGCCGCGUGAGUGAAGAAGUAUCUCGGUAUGUAAAGCUUCAUUAGCAGGGAAGAAAAUGACGGUACCUGACUAAGAAGCCCCGGCUAAUUACGUGCCAGCAGCCGCGGCAAUACGCAGGGGGCAAGCGUUAUCCGGAUUUACUGGGUGUAAAGGGAGCGUAGACGGGAGUACAAGUCUGGAGUGAAAUCCCGGGGCUUAACCCCGGAACUGCUUUGGAAACUGUGCGGCUGGAGUGCAGGAGAGGUAGGCGGAAUGCGUAGUGUAGCGGUGAAAUGCGUAGAUAUUACGAAGAACACCGAUGGCGAAGGCAGCUUACUGGACUGUAACUGACGUUGAGGCUCGAAAGCGUGGGGAGCAAACAGGAUUAGAUACCCUGGUAGUC